rnacentral:rRNA from 1 species
UUACGGUCAUAUCACGUUGAAACACCGAUUCCCUUACGAUCAGCGAAGUUAAGCAACGUCGAGCCUGGUCAGUACCUAGAUGGGUGAUCACUUGGGAAUACCAGGUGUUGUAAG